AGUCGAGCGGAUGAAGGGAGCUUGCGUCCUGGAUUCAGCGGCGGACGGGUGAGUAAUGCCUAGGAAUCUGCCUGGUAGUGGGGGAUAACGUCCGGAAACGGGCGCUAAUACCGCAUACGUCCUGAGGGAGAAAGUGGGGGAUCUUCGGACCUCACGCUAUCAGAUGAGCCUAGGUCGGAUUAACUAGUUGGUGGGGUAAAGGCCUACCAAGGCGACGAUCCGUAACUGGUCUGAGAGGAUGAUCAGUCACACUGGAACUGAGACACGGUCCAGACUCCUACGGGAGGCAGCAGUGGGGAAUAUUGGACAAUGGGCGAAAGCCUGAUCCAGCCAUGCCGCGUGUGUGAAGAAGGUCUUCGGAUUGUAAAGCACUUUAAGUUGGGAGGAAGGGCAGUAAGUUAAUACCUUGCUGUUUUGACGUUACCAACAGAAUAAGCACCGGCUAACUUCGUGCCAGCAGCCGCGGUAAUACGAAGGGUGCAAGCGUUAAUCGGAAUUACUGGGCGUAAAGCGCGCGUAGGUGGUUCAGCAAGUUGGAUGUGAAAUCCCCGGGCUCAACCUGGGAACUGCAUCCAAAACUACUGAGCUAGAGUACGGUAGAGGGUGGUGGAAUUUCCUGUGUAGCGGUGAAAUGCGUAGAUAUAGGAAGGAACACCAGUGGCGAAGGCGACCACCUGGACUGAUACUGACACUGAUGUGCGAAAGCGUGGGGAGCAACAGGAUUAGAUACCCUGGCUAGUCCACGCCGUAGACGAUGUCGACUA
rnacentral:rRNA from 1 species